GCGUGGGCUCACCUUGCUCGAUCUCGCGCUCGCGCUCAGCCAGCUGCUCGAAGUCGCGGAUGAUGGCGCGGGCUGCCAGGUGGUGGAAGGUCUCGCUCCACAGGUCGGCGUCGCGCGCGCUGCCCCGCUCCGGGCCGGGGGGCCCCAGCUCGAAGAUCACUUCCCACUGCAAGCGUUGGCUCUCUUGCAGGCCUUUGACCAGAGCCUUGCCCAGCAUCAGGCCUGGGGUGGUGGGCCUGCUGGAGCUGCCCAGCUCCUCAGACUCGGCCGUGGGCUCCCAGUCCGAGGAUAGCUCUGUCUCGAAGGCGGAGGGGUGAUGGGAUGGUUCUGUGGGCCCAGGGACAAGAUGGUCACCCCCCAGAGGAUAUAUCCUUCCCCCUGGUGCAAGUCAUCCCUAUGCAAGUAGAACCCAGUCUCCCUUCCCAGGGGGCAGACAACUUCUUUUCUAGGACAACUAGGUGGAAUGAGCUUGUCUCCCAGAAAGGGACAGAUCCACUUCCCAGGAAGCCAGGACCUGAGGGGGCCCGGUAGGGGCACUUGGGCAGAGGAUGGAUCAGGCUGCACAAAGAAAGGUAAGGUUGAUUGGAGAAGGUGGGAUCGGUGAGGUCCUCAGGGCAGUGUGGGCCACAACAAACCCUCAGGGGACAGAUAGGCAUUGGCCCUCUGGGGAAUCACAGCCAAGGAUUCCUCCUCGUCCCUAGCCAGGUUCUGGACCUUCCUACACUUACCCAAGUCCCCUGGGCUGCGACUGUCCCGAACAGGCUUCAGGCUAGACCCAGGAUCCGUGAGUCCCCAGGCCUGGGGCUCCUGGCCCAAGAGCAGGAAGGGCUGGCAGCCUUGGGGCAGCAGAGAGGGCCUGCGGGCCCCUGGGCCAUGAAGUUUGGGGCCCCGGCUGAGUUCCUGGCCAUUGUUCGGGAAGGACUAUGGGCACAAGAAGAGGAAGAGGAGGAGGAGGAGGAGGAGGAACCCGAACCAGUGGUGGAGGACCCUCCUGCCCCAAUGAUGGUUCUUUCCCUGGGCACUGCAACUCCCCUGAGGCACUGCCUUAUCCAGGACCCAGUAACUAUUACUCAUGAAAAAUAUCAACCAAAUGAUGGAUAAAUUCUAAGCUAAAAACUAAAACAAACAAACAUAACCCAAAACCAAAACAACCAUGAAAAAUCACAUACCAUGAAUAAUUCUAAACCCAUUUUUUUGGGGGGGGGCAUAAAGUUUAACAUUUUUUAUGUGUGUGGUUAAAAUUUGUCAACCCUUUUCCUUAUGUCUUCCCAUAUGUCAUGCUUAAAAGGUCUUUCCCACGCAACAAUAUUCUAGAAUUUUUAUUUUUGUUUGUAUGUUUAAAUCUUUGAAUCACAUGAAAUUUGUUUUACUUUAGAGACAGAAACCAGAUUUUUCUUGAUUUUCCAAAUGGUACAAACCUCAACACUGUUUACUGAAUAGUUUAUCCAUUGAGUCCCUACAGUUUAUCAGUUCCCCACCUCUCUCCCAACACAGAUGCCCAUUUGGACUUAUUUAUGAGCUUUCUGUUCCAUUUUGAUGAUUUAAUCUAUCUAUUCUUGUGCUGGUACACACAUCAAAAGGAAAGUGGUAAACUGGGAAAUAACAUUUACAAGAUGCAUGACAAAGAUCAUUUUUAAGAAAAUGCUCUUAUAAAUCACUGGAGGAAAAAAGACAAGCUUAAUAGAAUCAUGGGUUAAGGGUGUUCAUAAGCAGUUUAUAGCAAAACGAUCCAAUAAACCCAUAAAGAAGCUUAGCCUCCUGAAAAAGUAGAGCAAUGGAAAUUAAAACAGUCUAGCAGAUUGACAAAUACAGGAGAGACCCAGAGUCUCUCCUGGGUUGUAGGUUUGAGUGCAAAUUGGUACACACGGUGGGAGAACAAUUAAGCAAUUAUUUAGCAACAAUUAAAAUGAACAAAUCCCUGAGAUCCAGCAAUUCCACUUUUAGGAAUUCAGUCCUCUAGAAAUCCACAAAGGCAUAAGUAUCUAUGUACAAGCACUGAAUAUUUGUUGCAGCAUAAUUUGUAAAAGUAAAAAUCUGGAAGCUACCGAUCCAUCGGCAGGGGAGGGUGAAUAGGGUAUGUUACAUCUGUACAAGGGAACCUCACAACACUGAGCAAAAAGAGAUUUCUUCAUACCAAUGUGGAAAGAUGUCCAAGAUAAAACUAAUUUUUAAAUAUUAAGUUGUGACAGUUCUGUAUUUUAAUUGUGGUGAAUUGUGGUGACCAUAAAAGUCUUUUGCUAAAUCUCACAGAACUGUUCUACAGAAAGAGUAAUUUUACUGUAUAUAAAAAGUGAAUGAAAAGAUGUUUAAAAUGUAAGUUGGAGAGGAGUUUGUAUGUGUAAUUGUUAAAAAUAUAUGUGUGUGUUGUGCAUGUGUGAGACACUCAAAAUCAAGUGGUCUAGACUAGGGAAUGGGGACAUUUAUUUGUACUUUAUUCCUGAAUGAACUAUCUGAGAAUUUUUUUUUUCUAUCUGAGAAUUUUUAUUGCAAGUGAUGAGUGUGUCUUAUUUUCGUAACUGAAGAAUAUUAAAUGAAUUUCAAAAUUCUGGGACCUCAUACAUCCCCUGGUAGUGGAACUGAGGAAAACAAAGGCACUCACUAUGUGUAACAGAAAUUUUUUUAGGUCAACCAUUAACCAUGGGGCUUUUUCCUAUUAAAUAUUUAUUGGGAGGGGGAAUGUGCCUCCCCAUUAAAUGGGGGUGACAUUCCUGCUUCUGGACCAGAGGUUCUAGGUAUAGCACUAGACUGUGGGAGGAGGAGAUUGGCCACUUUUAGAAUGGCCUCCAUGGAAGCUGGUACCUGGCCAUGACUGUUGGAUCUCAAGGGAUCCUUAACCCCAUCCCCUUCCGAGAUUUGGGAUUCCUCCUCCUUCCUUUGCCUUCACCAUGAUCCAUGCUGGGUCAGACCCCUGCCCUCACCGUCAUCCGCACUGGGUUAGAGGGAAACCCAAGUUACUAUAGUUUCCACGGCAACAGAUGAAUCUAAGAUCCAGUUCUUCACAGGCCAGAGGCUGCAGGGAGUGUGUGUGUGUGUGUGUGUGUGUGUGUGUGUGUGAGAGAGAGAGAGAGAGAGAGAGAGAAAGAGAAUGCACAUGUGUGCAAGUCAGUUGGGGAGAAUCAGAUUGGGAGAGAAGUCUGGGGUGGGUAGAGGUGGGAAGGGGAAGAGAUGAGCAAAGGUGGGCCACAAGAGCUUGGGAGCAAGUGAAGAGAAGUCAAGGGAAGUCAACCUGCCCCAGCUCUCGCCAAGUAAAGCUGCCAUCGGAUGCCCACUGCGUGCUGGGGGCUGGUCAGCACUGUAUCCUCCACCAGCCAAUGGCUGGAAGAGUCCUCCACUUGGAGUUGGCUCCCCCAAAAUAUCUGUUGUUGGUGGUGACUCCAUCACCCACAUAGCUACUCUCUCCCUCUCACUGAUGAGGUAGUUGGGGCUUAGAGAGGCUAAGUGAUGCAGGUGAGGAAGUGUCUGCCUGACUCCUAGGCCAGUGCCUUCUGGUUGCAUGGGGUGGUCCCUGGCUAAGCACUGAGGAGAGCUCCCAGGGAGACAAGGUGGCAGUAGGUAUCUAUGGAGGCAAGGAGGGUUGAGGUGGCAUCUGGGAUGGGGAAGGGACACUGGGGAGAGUUCAUGCCUGGUUCUAUGGUACCACAAGCUCAUGCACGUUGACAUGAAGUCCAUUCUCAAGGAAAUGGGUUAAACCACACUUUGGUUUAAUACAGUGGUUCUCAACUGAUGUAGCUCCAGGGGACAUGUGGCAAUGUCUGAGGACAUUUGUGGUUGUCAUGACUGGGGAUGUUGUUGGUUUCCAGUGGGCAGAGGCCAAGGGUGCUACUAAACCUUCUAUCAUGCCCAGGAUUGUCCCUCUUCCCCAGCAAAGAAUUAUCACGGCCAUGGUGCUGAGGUGAGAAACCUGAUUUCAUGAAACACCAGGUGACCUUUCUACCCAGCCCUGACUUGAAAUCCCCUCUGUCCUGGGUGAAUUUCCAGCUGCUGGGACUGGAAGAGCAGCAGGGGGGAAAGUGGAGCUUUGAAGACAGAGGGUCCUGGGUUACAGUUCCCUGACAGGUUGCAUCACUCUGGGUAAGUUGCUUUACCUCUCUAGCCUCAAUUUCUGUGUGUGCACUGAGUGGGAGUGAUUGGACCCCAAACUGCCUCCUCUUCCAGAUGUGCUAUAAAAUCUAAUGACAGAAUAGAUGCAGAUAAAUGUGCCUUGCCAACUGGGAAGUGCUGUGUGCAGAGGGCAGGCGAUCUCAUUGUCCCUCACCAACCUGCCAUGCUGGAGUACCUGCAAAUCAACCUGCCACUUCUGGGCAUCGGGACUGGUCUGAUUGGUGAGAUCCUGCAGCUUGGCUUUUCGCAGUGGAUGUCUCCUGGCUGAAAUUGUGGGGUCGCUGGCUGUGGUGGUCCUUGGGCAGGUCUUGUGGUUGGAGAUCUGGUUGGUGCUGUAUGCUCUCCGUCUCUGGGAGGGGUCCGUACCUGGGCAGGGGCAGCGAGAAGGGAGCUGUCAGGGUGGAGGACAGAGGGGAAAGAGAGGGGCUUGGAUACCCCUUUCCUAUUAGGAAACAUUCCAAGUUCCUAAGUUCUCUAUUGCUGUACCUGCAGGUGCCUCCCUGGCAUCCAAAGCCUUGCCUCAUCUAGCCUUCAUCUGUCCUCCCAAUGACGCUCGCUUCUGUCUCGUUUUGAAGAACCAGUCCCCACGUGCAGUCUUUUUUAUACUCGAGGGAAUGUUCUCUUCUCUCCUUGGAUGCCCAGAGAUGUGGCCCCUGUUGCUGUGCUUCCAUCAGAGCAAAGUGGUCAGGUCCUGAGCUCCUGUCCUCUGCCACGCCCUUCCACCCUGAUGUCCUGCUUCCUCUUGGACCCAGAGCAGAAGAGUCAGCCAUCUAUGGACUAAGACCUCUGAAACUGUGAGGCCCCAAAUAAACUUUUCCUUCUAAAAUUAUUCCUGUCAAGUCUUUGGGGAUCAGUGGCUAAAAAGCUGACCGAAACACUGAGGUGGCCAUCAUUAUGAAAAAGGGAGCAUACCGCGACUAGAGGUGGAGUCACCACUGAAGGGCCUGGUCUCUCUGGUUUUCCCUACACUCUUGGCACUGUCUCGGCUGUCUGGGCCAAGUCCCUCCUCCUGAGACUGGUAGAAGACAGAGCUGCUGGAUUCCUGGGAGUGCAGCAUGCUGUACCUUCGCUUCUUGUCCUGGAGGGAGAAGAGGAAAAAGGGCCAAGCGAGGCUAGAUGUCAGGAAGA